rnacentral:sRNA from 1 species
UGAGUAAAUAUGGAGCCUUCAAAGAAUCAGUAGUUAUUAACUACACUGAACAGUUACUUCGUGGCCUUUCAUAUCUCCAUGAAAACCAAAUCAUUCACAGAGAUGUCAAAGGUGCCAAUUUGCUAAUUGACAGCACUGGUCAGAGACUAAGAAUUGCAGAUUUUGGAGCUGCAGCCAGGUUGGCAUCUAAAGGAACUGGUGCAGGGGAGUUUCAGGGACAAUUACUGGGGACAAUUGCAUUUAUGGCACCUGAGGUGAGAAGCAUCUUUGAAUGUGAUGAAAGAAAAUAUUUUGGAGUUCUGUGUAACAGCAUUAUACUGAAUUAUCUUGCAGGUAUCCAGUAUGUACUUACCAACUAGAAGUCCAUGGCCCUUAAAAUACGGUUUUAAUAAUAUCUUUCAGACCCUUAUUCCCGACCUUUCUUUGCCUUGGCAAUAUUCAAAAAAUAGGUUUUAAUAGAUUUGCUUAAGGGCUGUUACUAAUAAAGGAUUUUGGGGUAAUUUAUAGCAGUUGUUUUGUAAAACUCAAAGUGCCCAUAACAAAUUUUUAAAAAUAUUCUCUCUCUCUUCUAAAAGGAGAUGAGCAUACAGAGGCAGGUCCUGUCUGUAGUGGAAGGAGUUUAAGCAUUGUUCUUCUGACUCAGCCUCUUCUGUCGUGUUCAUAAUGCUUCAUGUUCAUAUGUAGUAAUGAUUUGUUGUCCUCUUGCCACAUAGUUUGCUAAGAGCAAAAUUCUGUGAUGUGACUCUGCUUCAGAAUCUCACAAUUCUCCAAAAUAUUUUUGUGCUACCUGGAAAAUUAAGCUCAUUAAUGAAAUAAAUUAGAUAUUAGGUAGUCCACAGAAUUGCUGUUUGUACCAGUUUUCUCCCUAAAGUAAGAAAGUAGAAUCUAUAACUACAAAAUGGCCUUCUCUUUUUCAAAUGAGUCCUAUUUCCAAAUUAACUCUGAUUUAUUUUAGGUACUAAGAGGUCAACAGUAUGGAAGGAGCUGUGAUGUAUGGAGUGUUGGCUGUGCUAUUAUAGAAAUGGCUUGCGCAAAACCACCAUGGAAUGCAGAAAAACACUCCAAUCAUCUUGCUUUGAUAUUUAAGAUUGCUAGCGCAACUACUGCUCCAUCGAUCCCUUCACAUUUGUCUCCUGGUUUACGAGAUGUGGCUCUUCGUUGUUUAGAACUUCAACCUCAGGACAGACCUCCAUCAAGAGAGCUACUGAAGCAUCCAGUCUUUCGUACUAUGUGGUAGCCAAUUAUGCAGAUCAACUACAAUAGAAACAGGAUGCUCAACAAGACAAAAAAACUUGUGGGGAACCACAUUGAUAUUCUACUGGCCAUGAUGCCACUGAACAGCUAUGAACGAGGCCAGUGGGGAACCCUUACCUAAGUAUGUGGUUGACAAAUCAUGAUCUGUACCUAAGCUCAGUAUGCAAAAGCCCACAACUAGUGCAGAAACUGUAAACCGUGCCUUUCAAAGAACUGGCCCUAGGUGAACAGGAAAACAAUGAAGUUUGCAUGACUAAAUUGCAGAAGCAUAAUUUUAUUUUUUUGGAGCACUUUUUCAGCAAUAUUAGCGGCUGAGGGGCUCAGGAUCUAUUUUAAUAUUUCAAUUAUUCUUCCAUUUCAUAUAGUGAUCACAAGCAGGGGGUUCUGCAAUUCCGUUCAAAUUUUUUGUCACUGGCUAUAAAAUCAGUAUCUGCCUCUUUUAGGUCAGAGUAUGCUAUGAGUAGCAAUACAUACAUAUAUUUUUAAAAGUUGAUACUUCUUUAUGACCCACAGUUGACCUUUAUUUUCUUAAAUACCAGGGCAAUUGUGGCUCAUUGUGCAUUUUACUGUUGGCCCAUUCAUUUCGUUUUUAGAAAUUAUGGUUUUGUAUUUUCAUUUUUAUUUACAUUCAUUUUUGUUUUUUCAGGGAAAGGUGAUCUUUUUUUCAAACCAGAAAAAAAAAGAACUAGAUAUGAAGUAGAGUUCAUUAAAUAUCUUGCUACUGUCAGAGUUUUUAAAAUACAGACUUAAUUUUGUUUUUUUAAAUUGGAAUACAAUAAAGUACUACCUACAUUUGGGUCAGUCACCACUCUUAUUGUGCAGGUUAAGUACAAGUUAACUAAAAAUUAACUGUCCUCUCUGAUGCAACUCACAACCAAGAUCAAGAUUACCUUAAAAUUUAUUUGAAUUUUUUAGAUGUUUUGGUUGUCAAACUGUAGGAAACUUCACAACAUUUAAGUCUUACUCUGUAUGUAACAAUCCAUCAUUCACCUUCACUACUGGUAAUAACAUAUAGCUGCCAUUUUCCUUUUACCAUGCAUCAUCUCUUUACAGUAGGCCUGGCAGAUCACUUUUUAAAAAGAUUAUUCAACUACCAAUCAGUAAUGUUUUUAAACAGUACAUUUGCUUUGAACUUGGAAAAUGUGUUCAGAAAGAAAAAUAGAAUUGAAUUUCAUUUAUACACUAUUUCCUUGGAGUUUGCAGUUACCUAACAGUUUUAGUCUGGAGUUAAAUUCAGAUGCAUGGAAUCCUGAAGGAAAAUGGUAGCUUUUUAAUCUUUGUGUGUGUGUGAGUCUUUUAAAUCAAGUACUGAUUAACUAUCAAAUACAACUUUGAGAUUUUAGUUUUAACUCUUCAGAAGCCAGUGUGAAAUAGAAUUGGUUAUUCUCAAAGACUCAGGAUAAACUAAAUAAGCUAUAUAGAGUACAUUUAAAAUGUACAACACAAAUUGGAAAUAAAAUAAGUUACAAGAUAAGUUUACAGGGAUAUAUUGCUUAUAAUUUUUAAAAGGCAGUUUGUUUUUUAUGUGAAUAUGUUUCUUAGUGAAAUUUUACAUUCCUUUGUUUUGAAGAUUGGCGAUAUUUGAAGAGUUAAAAAUAGUACAGAAAUGUGAAGUUUGGUAGCUCUAAAUGUGUCGUACUUGACUUUCUUUAUUUUGGUUUUUUUUUUUUUUUUUUGAUUACUUAGAAUUUUCACAAUUCUAAUAAGAUUGUUUCCAAGUCUCUCAUGUGCAAGCUUUAAAGGAUGCACUCUUGCCAUUUUAUGUACUGGAAGAUCAUUGGUCAGAUGAAUACUGUGUCUGACAAAAAUGUAAACUGUAUAAACUGAGGAACCUCAGCUAAUCAGUAUUACUUUGUAGAUCACCAUGCCCACCACAUUUCAAACUCAAACUAUCUGUAGAUUUCAAAAUCCAUUGUGUUUGAGUUUGUUUGCAGUUCCCUCAGCUUGCUGGUAAUUGUGGUGUUUUGUUUUUUGUUUUGUUUUCAAUGCAAAUGUGAUGUAAUAUUCUUAUUUUCUUUGGAUCAAAGCUGGACUGGAAAUUGUAUCGUGUAAUUAUUUUUGUGUUCUUAAUGUUAUUUGGUACUCAAGUUGUAAAUAACGUCUACUACUGUUUAUUCCAGUUUCUACUACCUCAGGUGUCUUAUAGAUUUUUCUUCUACCAAAGUUCACUUUCACAAUGAAAUUAUAUUUGCUGUGUGACUAUGAUUCCUAAGAUUUCCAGGGCUUAAGGGCUAACUUCUAUUAGCACCUUACUGUGUAAGCAAAUGUUACAAAAAAAAAAAAAAUCUCUGGGUUAAGAAAAUUUGGCUUAAAUGUAUCCUUUGUUAUUUUAAAUAUAUUGAGAUAUUUUAAUUAAAAUUUUUACCCCAUUGAACCGAUUUUAUAGUAUUUGUACCUAUUUUGGUGUUUUUGUCUUUAUAGUAAAUAAAAGUUUUUGAACAAA